rnacentral:rRNA from 1 species
AGCAGCCGCGGUAAUUCCAGCUCCAAUAGCGUAUAUUAAAGUUGUUGCAGUUAAAAAGCUCGUAGUUGAACCUCGGGGUCUACCCACUGGUCAGGCUUAAUUGUCUGCACUGGUGAGAUGGAUCUCUACCUUCUGAGGAACUUUCAUGCCAUUUAUUUGGUGUGAUGGGAAAUCAGGACUGUUACUUUGAAAAAAUUAGAGUGUUUAAAGCAGACUAUCGUCUGAAUACAUUAGCAUGGAAUAAUGAAAUAGGACGGACUGAUUCUAUUUCGUGGUUUCUAGGAUCACCGUAAUGAUUAAUAGGGAUAGUUGGGGGCAUUAGUAUUCAAUUGUCAGAGGUGAAAUUCUUGGAUUUAUUGAAGACUAACUACUGCGAAAGCAUUUGCCAAGGAUGUUUUCAUUAAUCAAGAACGAAAGUUAGGGGAUCGAAGACGAUCAGAUACCGUCGUAGUCUUAACCAUAAACUAUGCCGACUAGGGAUCGGACGAAG